rnacentral:rRNA from 1 species
UGGGGAAUCUUGCACAAUGGGGGCAACCCUGAUGCAGCGACGCCGCGUGAGCGAUGAAGCCCUUCGGGGCGUAAAGCUCUUUCGACCGGAACGAUAAUGACGGUACCGGGAGAAGAAGCUGCGGCUAACUACGUGCCAGCGGCCGCGGUAAUACGUAGGCAGCGAGCGUUGUUCGGAGUUACUGGGCGUAAAGAGUGCGUAGGCGGUUUUCUAAGUUCGGUGUGAAAUCUCCCGGCUUAACUGGGAGGGUGCGCCGAAGACUGGGAAGCUGGAGUGUGGGAAAGGCAGGCGGAAUUCCUGGUGUAGCGGUGAAAUGCGUAGAUAUCAGGAGGAACACCGGCGGUGUAGACGGCUUGCUAGACCAUAACUGACGCUGAGGCACGAAAGCGUGGGUAGCAAACA